CCUAGGGUGGCUGCAGUGGGGAAUAUUGGACAAUGGGGGGAACCCUGAUCCAGCGACGCCGCGUGAGUGAAGAAGUAUUUCGGUAUGUAAAGCUCUAUCAGCAGGGAAGAAAGAACUGACGGUACCUGCCUAAGAAGCCCCGGCUAACUACGUGCCAGCAGCCGCGGUAAUACGUAGGGGGCAAGCGUUAUCCGGAUUUCUUGGGUGUAAAGGGCGUGUAGGCGGGAGCGCAAGUCAGAUGUGAAAACUCAGGGCUCAACCCUGAGCCUGCAUUUGAAACUGUGUUUCUUGAGUGCUGGAGAGGCAAUCGGAAUUCCGUGUGUAGCGGUGAAAUGCGUAGAUAUACGGAGGAACACCAGUGGCGAAGGCGGAUUGCUGGACAGUAACUGACGCUGAGGCGCGAAAGCGUGGGGAGCAAACAGGAUUAGAUACCCGAGUAGUC
rnacentral:rRNA from 1 species